rfam:Candidatus Kaiserbacteria bacterium RIFCSPHIGHO2_02_FTLL_56_30 rifcsphigho2_02_scaffold_15686, whole genome shotgun sequence.
GCCGGGGUGGCGAAAUUGGCAGACGCAGCAGAUUCAAAACCUGCCGCCGCAAGGCAUGUGGGUUCGACUCCCACCCCCGGCA